UGAACUUGGGCUGGCUCGAUGCCUUGAUCUUCAUCGGUUCGCCGGUACGCGGGUUGCGGCCGGUGGACGCCUUGCGCUUGGAAACCGAAAAGGUGCCGAAGCCAACCAAGCGUACUUCAUCGCCCUUUUUGAGGACACCGCUGAUCGCG
rnacentral:sRNA from 1 species